GCCCCCGUAGCUCAGUGGAUAGCGCAGGCGCCUUCUAAGUGCUUGGCCGCAGGUUCGAGUCCUGCCGGAGGAA
rnacentral:tRNA from 1 species